rnacentral:rRNA from 1 species
UCUGCCUUGUAGUGGGGGAUAACUUGCCGAAAGGUAAGCUAAUACCGCAUACGCCCUAAGGGGGAAAGCAGGGGACUCUUCGGAGCCUUGCGCUAUUAGAUGAGCCUAGGUCGGAUUAGUUAGUUGGUGGGGUAAUGGCUCACCAAGACCGCGAUCCGUAACUGGUCUGAGAGGAUGAUCAGUCACACUGGAACUGAGACACGGUCCAGACUCCUACGGGAGGCAGCAGUGGGGAAUAUUGGACAAUGGGGGGAACCCUGAUCCAGCCAUGCCGCGUGUGUGAAGAAGGCCUUCGGGUUGUAAAGCACUUUAAUUUGGGAGGAAGGGCUUACGGUUAAUAACCGCUAAGUUUUGACGUUACCAAAAGAAUAAGCACCGGCUAACUUCGUGCCAGCAGCCGCGGUAAUACGAAGGGUGCGAGCGUUAAUCGGAAUUACUGGGCGUAAAGCGCGCGUAGGUGGUUCAUUAAGUUAGGAGUGAAAGCCCCGGGCUCAACCUGGGAAUUGCUUCUAAAACUGGUGAGCUAGAGUACAGUAAAGGGUGGUGGAAUUUCCUGUGUAGCGGUGAAAUGCGUAGAUAUAGGAAGGAACAUCAGUGGCGAAGGCGACCACCUGGACUGAUACUGACACUGAGGUGCGAAAGCGUGGGGAGCAAACAGGAUUAAAUACCCUGGUAGUCCACGCCGUAAACGAUGUCAACUA